UGCCCCGUGAUGUAGCUGGCAGCAUGACUGAUUCUGGAUCAGUUCGUUCUGGUUCGAAUCCAGGCGGGGCAGCCA
rnacentral:tRNA from 2 species